GAUUGACACGACCAAUGACUCCGGUUUCUCCUGGGAAGCGCAAAGACAAGUCCAAGUUUUUUUUUUCCUCAGAAGAUUGCUUCCUGUUUGCUUGCACCAGAUCCUUUUUGGUGUAUGUGCCUGGCUCUUUGGCAGGUCUUUGGGGGAAAGUCGGCGAAGGCCCAGCGGAGACACAAUGGAGGUCUAUGGAGGACGCGCAGGCCAACAGACAGUUCAACGGGUCCUCUGAGCAGAUAAGUCGUCCCCAUACAAAC